rnacentral:rRNA from 1 species
CAGUAGCCGCGGUAAUACGAAGGGUGCAAGCGUUAAUCGGAAUUACUGGGCAUAAAGCGUGCGUAGGCGGCUUGUUAAGUCUGCUGUGAAAUCCCCGGGCUCAACCUGGGAAUGGCAGUGGAUACUGGCAAGCUAGAGUGUGUCAGAGGAUGGUGGAAUUCCCGGUGUAGCGGUGAAAUGCGUAGAGAUCGGGAGGAAUACCGAUGGCGAAGGCAGCCAUCUGGCCUAAUACUGACGCUGAGGUACGAAAGCAUGGGGAGCAAACAGGAUUAGAUACCCCUGUAGUCCCUGUCUCUUAUAC